CCUACGGGAGACUGCAGUGAGGAAUAUUGGUCAAUGGCCGGAAGGCUGAACCAGCCAUGCCGCGUGAAGGUCAGUGCCCUAUGGGCGUUAAACUUCUUUUGUGCGGGAGCAAUAAUGGUCACGUGUGGCCAGACGAGAGUACCGUACGAAUAAGCAUCGGCUAACACCGUGCCAGCAGCCGCGGUAAUACGGGGGAUGCAAGCGUUAUCCGGAUUUAUUGGGUUUAAAGGGUGCGUAGGCUGUGAGGUAAGUCAGCGGUGAAAUGCCCCCGCUCAACGGGGUGAAGUGCCAUUGAUACUGCCUAGCUGGAAUGCGGGUGCCGUGGGAGGAAUGUGUGGUGUAGCGGUGAAAUGCAUAGAUAUCACACAGAACACCGAUUGCGAAGGCAUCUCACGAAUCCGCGAUUGACGCUGAUGCACGAAAGCGUGGGUAUCAAACAGGAUUAGAUACCCUAGUAGUC
rnacentral:rRNA from 1 species